rnacentral:rRNA from 1 species
GAUGAACGCUGGCGGCGUGCCUAAUACAUGCAAGUAGAACGCUGAAGGAGGAGCUUGCUCUUCUGGAUGAGUUGCGAACGGGUGAGUAACGCGUAGGUAACCUGCCUGGUAGCGGGGGAUAACUAUUGGAAACGAUAGCUAAUACCGCAUGACAACAGUUAUUGCAUGAUAACUGUUUAAAAGGGGCAACUGCUCCACUACCAGAUGGACCUGCGUUGUAUUAGCUAGUUGGUGAGGUAACGGCUCACCAAGGCGACGAUACAUAGCCGACCUGAGAGGGGGAUCGGCCACACUGGGACUGAGACACGGCCCAGACUCCUACGGGAGGCAGCAGUAGGGAAUCUUCGGCAAUGGACGGAAGUCUGACCGAGCAACGCCGCGUGAGUGAAGAAGGUUUUCGGAUCGUAAAGCUCUGUUGCAAGAGAAGAACGAGUGUGAGAGUGGAAAGUUCACACUGUGACGGUAUCUUACCAGAAAGGGACGGCUAACUACGUG